rnacentral:rRNA from 1 species
GACGAACGCUGGCGGCGUGCUUAACACAUGCAAGUCGAACGGAAAGGCCCUGCUUGCCGGGUACUCGAGUGGCGAACGGGUGAGUAACACGUGGGUGAUCUGCCCUGCACUUCGGGAUAAGCCUGGGAAACUGGGUCUAAUACCGGAUAGGAGCCAUUUUUAGUGUGAUGGUUGGAAAGUUUUUUCGGUGUAGGAUGAGCUCGCGGCCUAUCAGCUUGUUGGUGGGGUAAUGGCCUACCAAGGCGGCGACGGGUAGCCGGCCUGAGAGGGUGGACGGCCACAUUGGGACUGAGAUACGGCCCAGACUCCUACGGGAGGCAGCAGUGGGGAAUAUUGCACAAUGGGCGCAAGCCUGAUGCAGCGACGCCGCGUGGGGGAUGACGGCCUUCGGGUUGUAAACUCCUUUCGGUAGGGACGAAGCUUUUUGUGACGGUACCUAGAGAAGAAGCACCGGCUAACUACGUG